CACGCCGCGUGAGUGAUGAAGGUUUUCGGAUCGUAAAGCUCUGUUGUUAGGGAAGAACAAGUACCGUUCGAAUAGGGCGGUACCUUGACGGUACCUAACCAGAAAGCCACGGCUAACUACGUGCCAGCAGCCGCGGUAAUACGUAGGUGGCAAGCGUUGUCCGGAAUUAUUGGGCGUAAAGGGCUCGCAGGCGGUUUCUUAAGUCUGAUGUGAAAGCCCCCGGCUCAACCGGGGAGGGUCAUUGGAAACUGGGGAACUUGAGUGCAGAAGAGGAGAGUGGAAUUCCACGUGUAGCGGUGAAAUGCGUAGAGAUGUGGAGGAACACCAGUGGCGAAGGCGACUCUCUGGUCUGUAACUGACGCUGAGGAGCGAAAGCGUGGGGAGCGAACAGGAUUAGAUACCCUGGUAGUCCACGCCGUAAACGAUGAGUGCUAAGUGUUAGGGGGUUUCCGCCCCUUAGUGCUGCAGCUAACGCAUUAAGCACUC
rnacentral:rRNA from 1 species